UACAGAGGGUGCAAGCGUUGUUUCGGAAUCAUUGGGCGUAAAGGGCGUGUAGGCGGUUUGUUAAGUCAUGUGUGAAAUCCCCCGGCUCAACCGAGGAAGGACGCAUGAAACUGGCAAGCUAGAGUACCGAAGAGGCGAGUGGAAUUCCCGGUGUAGCGGUGAAAUGCGCAGAUAUCGGGAGGAACACCUAUUGUCGAAGGCAGCUCGCUGGGACGUCACUGACGCUGAGACGCGAAAGCGUGGGGAGCAAACAGG
rnacentral:rRNA from 1 species